AUUCGCUCAAUUACAACAACGCUCGUUCGCGCAUUUGACAGCCGUCGUACGAAUGUGCCAAUAACCUAUAUGUUGUUGCUAAAUAUUUCUGUUCUAGUGAAUAUUUAAUAAAUAAAUUUAGUAUGGUCACGUGCCAAGUUGUUUCAACUAAUGAAUAUUGAAUUGCACGUCUUAAGUGAUGGCCAGAAGUCAAACACUUUUCAAUCAAUUCAAGAAAGCAUCCUAAAGUUCAUGUUCUCCGGAGCCUAAAUAUGCUGGAUUUGUACUAUAUGAAUGUAUUUUAAUAAUAAUUAUUUUAGAACUUGGUAUAUCAAUGUCAAUUCAUAAAAAUGAUGUAGAGGCAGUGGCAGAUUGUCGAAGGAGAGUAAUCUUACUUCAGGCUUCUUUGAGCUGUAUUGAAGUGUGUGGAUUAGACAAAUCUCCUUUACGGGAAUCAUGAAAGGGUUUUCCUCUCACACAGUCACGACUAGGAGAGCAUUCUGAUGUAGAAUCAGGCAAUAAUUCUGAUAGAGGGUAAACAAAACAAUCUAAUAAAAAAAACACGACAGUGUGCAAAUCCAGAGAAAGGGCCAAGUAAUUUUAAUUCUAAAUACCAUUUGCAAAGAAAAUAAGUAAGGACAUAAUUCUUGCUUUGAAACUGUACAAAAAGUACGGGUAUCAAAUGCAUACAUUUUUAUU